GAUGAACGCUAGCGGCAGGCCUAAUACAUGCAAGUCGAGGGGCAGCAGGAAUAGCAAUAUUUGCUGGCGACCGGCGCACGGGUGCGAAACACGUAUACAAUCUGCCUUCUACAGGGGGAGAGCCUUUCGAAAGAGAGAUUAAUACUCCAUAACACAAGAAAUAGCAUUAUUUUGUGUUGAAAGAUCCGUCGGUAGCAGAUGAGUAUGCGGGUGAUUCGCUAGUUGGUGAGGGAAAGGCUCACCAAGGCAACGAUCACUAGGGGAUGUGAGAGGACUACCCCCCACACUGGUACUGAGACACGGACCAGACUCCUACGGGAGGCAGCAGUAAGGAAUAUUGGACAAUGGAGGCAACUCUGAUCCAGCCAUGCCGCGUGCAGGAUGAAGGCCCUAUGGGUCGUAAACUGCUUUUGUACGAGAGAAAACCUAUUUACGUGUAGAUAGUUGAUAGUAUCGUAAGAAUAAGGAUCGGCUAACUUCGUGCCAGCCGCCGCAGUAACAC
rnacentral:rRNA from 1 species